GCCGUCUGGAACUUUUGGACUCUGAAGACAUUAGAAAAACUAAUUACGCCUCCACUCAGACAUCUGUACCACGGAAUGGAUGUGUGCGUAUGGACACAGAAAUGGGGCGAGCAUUUGCUGUCCGUCCAUAACUUCUAGGUGAAGAUUCCUGAUGGAUGUUUUCG